UACACAAGUAUCGAUAAUACAGUUAUACAGUUUACUCUCGAUCACCAAGAUGGUAGCUGCGAGGGACUUUUGGCCGAUUGUGCUGGUCGCAUUCGUGGCGUACGGCUCUGGGGCACCAUUCAAUAUUGAUGGGUUGUCACGUAAUCAAACUGGUUUCGUUGCCGAUCACUUCAUCAACAAUUUGUAUAAAACCACCCAACAACCAACAUCGGACAUAAGCAUGAAAUCAAAGUUUGGCCUUCUCAUGGAUAUGGCACAUCCUUUUUUGGAAUGGUUGAACAAAACAUUCCCUAAAAUUAAUGAAAUCAAUAAGCGCACCUCCAUUCCAGCCAAAAUCCUAAAGGGAAACAAGAAGCAACAACCAGUCAUGGUUGAAAAUGUCACACAAAAUGUGUCCAUAUUGCAAGAGAUAAGCCCGAUCAGCGAAGAGCCGAACAUUGUCGAAACGAUUCAACGUCUGUCUGAGUCAAACAACGUCACAGUCACACAACGUACAAUCCAAGGCCCGUUGAACUAUACCGAAGACAAUCAAGAGACAGAGUCAACCAAUGUAACAGUCCACAACCCGGGGAACAACAACGUAGACGAUCAAGGAAACAAGCAAGCAACCAGCCUUUCUCAGUCGAUUAUAAUUGAUUGGAUUGUAAUAUGGACAUUAAUUAUAAUUAUGAUUAUAAUUUUUGGUAUUUUGAUUUAUUUACCUUAGCAAUUAAGCAUUUCAUUUCAUUUCGAAUCUAUAACGGUUAACUUAGGAGUGCUGCAUGCACGUGUGUCCAUCGUCCAAUCCAUAGAUCAAUUCCGAGAAGCGGAAGAAAAUCGACCAAGGGACGAAGACAAUCAAGGGAACAAGCAAGCAACCGAUCUUUCUCGGUGGAUCGUAAUUGUGUGGAAUGUAGUAUCGCUAUUAAUCAUAUUAAUAAUUAUAAAAAUAAUCUUCAAAAGUAUGGGAAUCGAUUCCCAUACGCACCGUUACCCAAUAACAAGGAGUGGCUAUCCGUGUGGUAGUUCUAGACUGUCUCGGAAAUCUGUUAUAGAUCGACAUGACUUAAAAUUCCUACGGAUAGCAAAGAACGAAAUUGCGAGGAUCCUGCACUUCCGACACUAUUAACAGGAAACAACAGGAGUAACAAAGAACCCACACACAAGCAUAGUUUGAAGAGAAAGUAAAAACUUGCAUCAAUCAUUCCUGAGUAAUAAUUCUAUGAUAAAAAUUAUCUUGACAUUUAUCGAGAUUUACCAUUUCCUUACUCAAGUACAUUGGAAACAAAUAUCUUGCAUCAGCAUUUCGACAUUCACACAGCAACAGCAAUACAGUGAAAGAAAAAAAAGAAAGAGCGAGAAAAAUCGAAAGGGAGAGAGAGAAAGAGAGAGAGAGAGACAGAGAGAGAGUGAGAAUCAAAGAUUGAUAGAGAAAAACUUUAGAAAGAGCAUUAUUUGAAGUCUGGAUACAACUUACCUUGUAUCGAAAAAACUUAUUUUUCUCAGGAAUCGAAGCCACUAGAAGCUAGAAAUGAUAAUGGAAGAAGAUCUGGGAUUGGGAUUGUUGUUUGUAUGGAAUUCCUCACGCAUUUCCAAAGAUAUUUUUGGACGCACACAUUAACGUAUUGUUUGUAUAUUUGUGUGUUCAUUUUAAAUUUUUUUAUUAUUAUUUUUUUUUAAGUUUUAUGUAUUGUUUUUCAAUUUUAUAAAUCUCAAUAUUUUGGCUUUUCUCGCAAUUUACUUUUAAUUUCGGAUUAAUUUUGCUUAAGCGUAAGCAAAAAAUCAAAACGAAAACUAUUUUACCUAAUUCUUUAUACAUAUUAUUUAGGUCGUCUAAUUGGGUGCUUGUAAGCUACUACAUAUACAUUUACUUUUACUCCAAAAACUGAGGGUGACCAAUUGCUGAUCUUUUACAUUACCUUUCAACAAGGUUCAAGAUACUUACACCUCUCUUUUGUUAAGUUCACUGUUACCAUCUGUUAUCGAAUAAAGUUGCUAUCCUUGCUAUCCAAAA